rnacentral:lncRNA from 1 species
CCAGAAUACAACAUAAGGCAGAGUAAGGAAUAAUUCACUCUCUGAAUGACUGUUUUCAAGCUGGGACAUGGGUCUCCUGCCUUCAGACUUGGUCUCAGAUAGAACUUAACCUUCAAUUCUUCUGGUUUUUGGACUGAGAAUAGGAUUGGGGCUUAAACCAUCAGCUUUCCUGGUUCUCGGGUCUUUGGAUCCUGAUUGGAAUGAUAUCAUUGGCUUUCCAGAGUCUUUAGCUUGCUGACUGCAUAUCUUGGAACUUCUCAGCUUUCAUAAUCAAUUACAGUUGAAUAUGAGGAGCUGGAUUGCAGUGUCAUGACCUGGGCUCAGUGUAACUUCCAUCUGCCAGGCUCAAGAGAUCCUCCCGCCUCAGCGUCUCGAGUAGCUGGGACUACAGGAACGUGCCACCAGGCCUGGCUAAUUUUUUAUUUUUUUUGUGAAGACGGGGUUUCACUAUGUGGCUCAGGCUGGUCUCAAACUCCAGGAAUCAAGGGACCCACCUGCCUAGGCCUCCCAAAGUGCUGGGAUUACAGGCAUGAGCUACCGCACCAGGGCUGAGAUUGCAAGAGGACAACUCGGCUCUAAAAUCGAUGCAUUAACAUGUCAUUGGAAUUGACCUUGCCAAAAGAUGCCUCCCUAAAUCCACAAGAAUCUCCUUGUUUGAACACAGUUUCUAAUCCAGCUGUAAUGAAGACAGACAACAGUCAAAUUAACAACUGAUCAGGAGGAGAAGUUCAUACUCCUUGAGCUGGAUCUAUCUGCACAUGCACCUGGCCCAGGAAGCUGAAAUGGGAGAUCUGAUGAGCAGUGGAGGACUGAACCAAAGCCCUUGGCUUUUGCUCCAUACCAGUCAGAGUCUCAUCAGGAUAUCAUGUUGCAUUGAGUAGUCAUGUCUCCACAGGCUUUUCUUGGCUGCGACUCUUACUCACGUUUUCCUUGGUUUUGCCCACCUUACAGUUUACAGUAGUGGUCAGGUAUUUUGUAGUAUGUCCCUCACUUGGGCUUUGCUUGAUGCUUAUCUCCUGAGAAAACUAGGGAUAUGUAUUUUGGGGAGGAAGGCCACAGAGAUGAAGUGACAUUCUUUUCACAUCAUAUCAAUGCUACAUACUAUCAAAAGGGCUUAUCACUGUUGAUGUUAAUUUUAAUCACCUGGCUAAGAUAUUCUUUUUCAGGAUUUUGACUUUAAAGUUACCCUUUAUGCUUUUCCUUCUCAUAAAGUGCUCUUUGAAAUGAAGUCACUCUGUGCAGCAGACAUUUAAAAAGCAGGAAAUUAUGGUGACAGAGUAUCUGUAUAAAUUAUUUGCAGUUCUUUUAUUUUCAGAGUUUGGAAUUAUAGCACUCCUAUAAAUCUUAUUACUAAUGGUGCCACAAAUUGUGUACUACUGAUAUGUAUUAGUGCACAACUUAAAGCAUGUGGACAUGAGCUGUAUUUGAAAAAACAUUCAGAUGGAAGAGCUACCUGAUUUGAAGUGAAUCUUAAUUGGAACUUAAUGAUGCCUCCUAGUAAUUUACUAUUUUAGCUGAACCUACAGUAUCAGCUGUAGCCCAGAAAAUAUAAGAGCUACAAUUCGUACAAUUCAACAUCAGCUGCCAAGGCCCACCUGGACUGCACCUGCAAAACCAGCUGUGGUUUCUUUGCUCUCACAAUUCAUGUCAGUGUUUUUCAGCCAAUGCAUCACUGGUUUCGAAUUUUAUACUGUUCCUCUCUCAGUCCUCCACCCCUCUAGUUUCUAAAUGAUAGAGAAUAAUUAGGUGAGGUUUAAACUCUCAGGAUUAUUCAGGGUUUGUGGAGAGUAGGAAGGUUUCUUCCAGGUUACAGCACAAUUUAAGGAGCCUGGCAAGAAGCAUCCAAUAUUAGCAAGUAGAAAAGCAGCAUAAGUAUGAGGUUGGAACUUCCCACGAUACUUAGUACAUGGAAAAAAAUGUAGAACAUACCAAAAAAAAAGCAAAUUGUAAAAAAAUUUCACAAAUAAAAAUACUGUUAUGAAAAUUAUAAUUCACAUUUUUAAUAUUUUUUAUUGUAAAAUGUAUAAAAUUUGCCAUUUAACCUCUUAAGUGUACAAUUCAGUGGCAUUAAUUGUAUUUACAGUUUUGUGCAACAAUCACCACUAUUUUCAAAAAUUUUCAUCAAUCCAAACAGAAACUCUGGCAAUUAGUAACAACUCCCCAUUUUUUAUUCCUAAUCCAUCCCCUAGUAAACUCUAAAUCUUGUCUCUGUGAAUCUCCCUGUUCUAAAUAUUUGUAUAAGAGGAAUCAUACAACAUUGACCCUUUUGUGUCUGGCUAAUUUCACUUUGCAUAAUGUUUAAAAGCUUCAUCCAUAUAGUGACAUGUAUGAGAACUUCAUUUCUUUUUUAUGGCUCAAUUAUAUUCCACAGUAUGCACACACACCCCAUUUUGUUUAUCCAUUCAUCUGUUGAUAGACACACGUGGGUUAUUUCCUCCUUUUGGCUGUUAUGAAUAAUGCUGCUAUAAACACUAGUGUGCAUUUAUCUGAAUUCAUGUUUUACAUUCAUUGGGAUACCAAAUUAAAAUGCUGGGUCAUAUGGUAAUUCUGUUUAACAUUUUAAGGUAUCACCAAACUGUCUUCCACAGCAGCUGCAUCAUUUUAAAUGCAGACCAACAAAGUAUGAUUCUCCAAAUUUCCCAGUUACUCGUCAACUCUUGUUCUACAUUUUCUAACUAUAGUGAUACUAGUAGGUAUAACAUUAUGUCAUUGUGAUUUUGAUUUGCAAUGGCCUAAAAACUAAUGGUUUUUUAAUAACUUUCAUGUUGUACUCAUUGGCCAUUUGCAUAUCUUUAGCAAAAUGUCUAUUCAAAUCCUUUGCCUGUUUUUAAUUGGGUUGUUUUGUCUUUUUGUUGUAGAGUUGUAGUUUUUUAAUGUCUUGAUAUAAAUCUCUUACAAGAUACAUACUUCACAGUACAUUAUCUCAUUUUGUAAAUAAGUUAUUUCACUCUCUUAGUGAUGUUUUUAUUAUCUAAAGGUUUUAAUACUUUUUAAAACUUGUACUGUGAAUAUGAUAUGCCCUGUGAUUAACAAAUUUAUUUAUUACUUAAACAACUUAAUUUUUAAAAAUAAUUGCAUGAAUAUUUUUGUCCUAUUUGUUCCAUUCCUACUUCGUGAACACCAAUUAUCUGUUUGACAGAUUGUCAUUUUCCAUGCUUCAUACAAAUUCUUUUUUCUUCUGCAUUUUUUUCUUUCCAAUCUUUGUGAAUGUAUUUAAUUUUCUUGCCUUGAUAUUCUGACUAGAACCUCCAGUAUAAUUUAUUUAUU